AAUGUAGCAAUACAUGGCGUACUGCUCAGUAACACGUGGACAACCUACCCUCAGGACAGGUAUAAACCCGGGAAACUGGGUAUAAUCCCUGAUAGUCCUCGAACGCUGGAAUGCAUCGAGGACGAAAGCUCCGGCGCCUGAGGAUGGGUCUGCGGCCUAUCAGGUAGUAGUAGGUGUAACGUACCUACUAGCCUACGACGGGUACGGGUUGUGAGAGCAAGAGCCCGGAGAUGGAUUCUGAGACACGAAUCCAGGCCCUACGGGGUGCAGCAGGCGCGAAAACUUUACAAUGCCGGCAACGGCGAUAAGGGGACCUCGAGUGCCAGGUUACAAAUCUGGCUGUCGUGAUGCCUUAAAAGCAUUACAUAGCAAGGGCCGGGCAAGACCGGUGCCAGCCGCCGCGGUAACACCGGAGGCUCGAGUGGUAACCGUUUAUUAUUGGGUCUAAAGGGUCUGUAGCCGGCCGGAUAAGUCUCUUGGGAAAUCCAGCAGCUCAACUGUUGGGCUUUCAGGAGAUACUGUUCGGCUCGAGGCCGGGAGAGGUGAGAGGUACUUCAGGGGUGGGGGUGAAAUCUUGUAAUCCUUGAAGGACCACCAGUGGCGAAGGCGUCUCACCAGAACGGACCUGACGGCAAGGGACGAAAGCUAGGGGCACGAACCGGAUUAGAUACCCGGGUAGUCCUAGCCGUAAACGAUACUCGCUAGGUGUCGGCCACGGUGCGACCGUUGUCGGUGCCGUAGGGAAGCCGUGAAGCGAGCCACCUGGGAAGUACGGCCGCAAGGCUGAAACUUA
rnacentral:rRNA from 1 species